rnacentral:lncRNA from 1 species
ACUCACCGGAUUGCAGAGUUUGUCUAUAUUUUAACUCCGUUUUGUGGCUUCAUAAACAAUACCAUACCCUCCGAGUCAAAUGCUUCGCCUACACCAGUCUGUACAUACGAACAAACCCAGUUUAUUUCUUCUCUCUUCUUGUGAUCUCUCAUACAUACCCCAAGUUGAAAGCAUAGAAUUUUGGCUUCAUCAACAACAUAACGAAGAAAAAUGAAAUCCAAGUAAUUGACUUUUGAUUAAUAACCAGAUCUUUUCAGAAGCAUAAAUAACACAACAACAAGCGAACAAUUCACAAAUACGGUCGUACGGACAUUUGAACAGCUUGACCAUUUCUUUGGCAGGAAACCCUUGGUUAAUACCCCUAAAGAAUUUGUGCAUUUACCUAUCCUCACUGUGAUCACUACUAUCCUCUCCCAAAAGAAACCAAGACGGUGUAGUUAGGGGCAUACGCAAGCGAAAAGACCGCAAGUGCUUACCCGAAUGUGAGCAUUGUUUCGAUUCUGUGAUUAGAUCCGAGUCAAUUCCCAUGUUAAUACAUGCCUGCAAUAUACAGUACAGUAAUUAAUUGGGUUCUCGGGCUCGGAUCUGGUCUGGAACCUCGAAGCACUUGACAU